UGGGGAAUUUUGGACAAUGGGCGCAAGCCUGAUCCAGCCAUACCGCGUGAGUGAAGAAGGCCUGCGGGUUGUAAAGCACUUUCAGUUGGGAAGAUAGUUUGUAGGGGAAUAUCCUGCAGAUGAGACGUUACUAACAAAAGAAGCACCGGCUAACUCUGUGCCAGCAGCCGCGGUAAUACGUAGGGUGCGAGCGUUAAUCGGAAUUACUGGGCGUAAAGCGUGCGCAGGCGGUUUGGUAAGACAGAUGUGAAAUCCCCGGGCUUAACCUGGGAACUGCAUUUGUGACUGCCAGACUAGAGUGUAGCAGAGGGGGGUAGAAUUCCACGUGUAGCAGUGAAAUGCGUAGAUAUGUGGAGGAAUACCGAUGGCGAAGGCAGCCCCCUGGGCUAACACUGACGCUCAUGCACGAAAGCGUGGGGAGCAAACAGGAUUAGAUACCCCUGUAGUCCCUGAGCGGGCUGGCAAGGCGCAU
rnacentral:rRNA from 1 species